GGGGCAAGCGUUGUUCGGAUUUACUGGGCGUAAAGGGCGCGUAGGCAGCCACCGCAAGUCGACUGUGAAAUCUCCGGGCUUAACCCGGAAAGGUCAGCCGAUACUGCGGGGCUAGAGUGCAGAAGGGGCAACUGGAAUUCUCGGUGUAGCGGUGAAAUGCGUAGAUAUCGAGAGGAACACCUGCGGCGAAGGCGGGUUGCUGGGCUGACACUGACGCUGAGGCGCGAAAGCUAGGGGAGCGAACGGG
rnacentral:rRNA from 1 species